rnacentral:lncRNA from 1 species
UUGUAGUCUGGUAAGACAACUAAAAAUUAUGUCAAAAUUACUUAAAACUCAUUUCCUUUCACAAUGCACUUUCCCAAAUAAUAUCUCUUUUAAUAGUUGAACUAAAUAAGAAUAUCCUUCUCUAAUUACACCAAAGAAAUGUAAAUGGUUUCAUUGAUAUUCAAUUUUUUAUUUGCUUAUUUGUUAGUCUUUUUAUAUCAACGUUUCUUCAAAAUUUGUUGAUUUUUGACAUGGAAAAUUAAAAUUAAAGCUUUUUAGUGCCCAAAAGCUCGGAUUAUUGCUAGUGUUAUUCUAAUAAAACUUAAACAUAAUUUUGAAGGAUAAUAAAUAAUAUUACUUUGAAUUAGUGGUUUAGAUGAAAUGAAAUUUUAAAUUUUGAGACUUUUCAAUUGAUUUGACAAGAAGGUGAAUUAAAUUUAUGAUAAUAAAAAAAUAUUUUGUUGUAUAUAGAAACUCCAAAAAAUUAAUCGAAUUGCCUCCAAUUUAAUGUGGUGUUUGAAUCUAAAAAUUUGAUAUCUUUAAAACAGCAGCCUUGAAUGGAAGCAUGAUA